CCUACGGGCGGCUGCAGUGAGGAAUAUUGCGCAAUGGAGGAAACUCUGAUGCAGCAACGCCGCGUGGAGGAUGACGCAUUUCGGUGUGUAAACUCCUUUUAAGAGGGAAGAUAAUGACGGUACCUCUUGAAUAAGCACCGGCUAACUCCGUGCCAGCAGCCGCGGUAAUACGGAGGGUGCAAGCGUUACUCGGAAUCACUGGGCGUAAAGGGUGCGUAGGCUGGCUUCUAAGUCAGAUGUGAAAUCCAAUGGCUUAACCAUUGAACUGCAUUUGAAACUGGGAGCCUAGAGUUCAGAAGGGGCAGAUGGAAUUAGUGGUGUAGGGGUAAAAUCCGUAGAUAUCACUAGGAAUAUCAAAAGCGAAGGCGAUCUGCUGGGAUGAUACUGACGCUGAGGCACGAAAGCGUGGGGAGCAAACAGGAUUAGAUACCCCAGUAGUC
rnacentral:rRNA from 1 species